rnacentral:RNase_P_RNA from 1 species
GAAGCUGACCAGACAGUCGCCGCUUCGUCGUCGUCCUUUCGGGGAGACGGGCGGAGGGGAGGAAAGUCCGGGCUCCAUAGGGCAGGGUGCCAGGUAACGCCUGGGGGGGAAACCCACGACCAGUGCAACAGAGAGCAGACCGCCGAUGGCCCAUGUAAGUGGGAUCAGGUAAGGGUGAAAGGGUGCGGUAAGAGCGCACCGCGCGGCUGGUAACAGUCCGUGGCACGGUAAACUCCACCCGGAGCAAGGCCAAAUAGGGGUUCAUAAGGUACGGCCCGUACUGAACCCGGGUAGGCUGCUUGAGCCAGUGAGCGAUUGCUGGCCUAGAUGAAUGACUGUCCACGACAGAACCCGGCUUAUCGGUCAGUUUCACUU